GGGUUAUAUAAAGGGGGAGUAAGAAAAACCUUCAUUAAGUCCUUGUGGUGAUAGAGUAUUUAGUAUGUAGAUUCAAAACGCCUCUCUUUAAUGAAGUUUGGUAUCCCACCCACCUUUGCGUGGUCGUUUGGGUAUAUGUUCAAGGCCCGUAAACCAUAUGCCAGCUGAAGAGUGGUCAUGGUAUUGGUGUAAAUGUCUGGAAAUUGGUAUUUCCAGGUGUCUCCUUACCAAAUUAACAUGUUCACAAAUCCUACAUUUA